AAAAAAAUGCGUCCGGAUAUUUUUCCGUCAUUGGACGAAAUUUUAAGUCAGACUAGACUUCCGGUUUGCGUUUUGUCUGUACUUUGAUCAUACAAAGACUAUGAAUAAAGUGUAUUUGCUAUCUGCUAUCAUUUUCAAGUUUACUAUCCACGGCGGUCACAGAGUUUAUUAAAUAGAGAGGGGUCUAUAUAAUAUGUCAAUGACCGCCGUGGAUCGAUUAGUAAACUGAGAAUUGAAAACACUUGAUUUAUAGUAAUGAAUGUUCAUAAUAAUAUACAGAUAAACGCUAACAUUAUUGAAAUUAAUAGGGGGGAAAAUGGGAAUUUUGGAAGAAAAAAAAACAAGGAGCCGGGCUAGAAAAACAAUUGUCAUGUCCCAAAGUACCUAUAACUUUUGAUACAUUUCCGGAAAUCCUCCAGCCAUUAAAUCAUUAAAUCUUUUACAAAAAUUCAUCCUACAACACCGUUUACAUACUUUCAACCACGCUCUGAAUGCCAUUUCGCGGAUGUGUUCUAGCAUUUAUUAUCCUUGCUUAAAGUAUUUCAGUUUGGGUUAACUUAUUUUGGGAGGAAAAACGAAAAUAAAGGCGUCCAGAUAUUGUUUCCGUCAUCGGACUGACUUUUUGAGAAAUAUAAAUGUAUUUUCAUAGUAUACAGAAAAACAGAAGGAAUAAAAAUAGGUA
rnacentral:lncRNA from 1 species